UGGGGAAUAUUGGACAAUGGGCGCAAGCCUGAUCCAGCAAUGCCGCGUGUGUGAAGAAGGCCUUCGGGUUGUAAAGCACUUUUAUCAGGAGCGAAACGCUGUCGGCUAAUACCCGGCGGAACUGACGGUACCUGAGGAAUAAGCACCGGCUAACUUCGUGCCAGCAGCCGCGGUAAUACGAAGGGUGCAAGCGUUAAUCGGAAUUACUGGGCGUAAAGCGUGCGUAGGCGGUUUCUUAAGUCUGCUGUGAAAUCCCCGGGCUCAACCUGGGAAUGGCAGUGGAUACUGGGAGGCUAGAGUGUGUCAGAGGGUGGUGGAAUUCCCGGUGUAGCGGUGAAAUGCGUAGAGAUCGGGAGGAACAUCAGUGGCGAAGGCGGCCACCUGGGACAACACUGACGCUGAGGCACGAAAGCGUGGGGAGCAAACAGGAUUAGAUACCCUGGUAGUCCACGCCCUAAACGAUGCGAACUGGAUGUUGGUCUCAACUCGGAGAUCAGUGUCGAAGCUAACGCGUUAAGUUCGCCGCCUGGGGAGUACGGUCGCAAGACUGAAACUCAAAGGAAUUGAC
rnacentral:rRNA from 1 species